rnacentral:misc_RNA from 1 species
CGUGCAAAGUGACAGCCCAACGAGAUUAAUUAGCCAGGGGUUUGUGUGUGGAAGCAAUUGCCAGUGUCUGGGUUUCGGAGAUAGUAUGGUAUGGGAUGGGAACCGCCGACGCCAUGCCCAAAAGUCGAAGCAACAAAGCCCCGGAGACAAACAACAACAUGCGAUCUUGCUAAGAUCAGAGCGAACGCAAAGCCAGCACGAUCAUGAGUCGCCAGGAGGGAGCUGCAUCCCGUCCAGCCGAGGGAGCGGCCGGCCCAGUCACAUCGUCAUUAUCAUCGACAUCGUCCAGCCACUCAGUGAGUGCUGUCCUAGGCAGCAAGAUAUCCACCUCAACGCCGCAAAAGAACGAUGAGCAGCAGGAGCAGGAGUUUAUCAAUCAGAGCGUGGCCAGCGAGAUCGAGGCCAUGUCAAUUUCGGGAUCUGCAUCCGCAGACAGCAGCAGUGGCGUCACGACCACAGCCACCACGAGCGGCAGUCCGGUUCCCAAGCGGCACUUGAGCACGGCCAAUCUGUCGCGGAUACGCCCGCAGUCGAGCUACUCGGCACGUGUACUCAUAUUCGACGACUCCGACCAGGAGGCGGCUGCCGCUGCAGCAGCACUUGCGGCAGCAUCGUCUUCCUGCAACAGCAGCGUCAAGUCCUGCAGCGGACUGGAGCUGCUGCCCACCUCGCCGGCCAAGCUAUCCAUCGGCAACGACAGCACCAACGGCUCCUCGAUGAUGCGCAACCUGAACCUGACCAAGAGCUCGUCCGGCGGUCUAUCCGGAAGUUCCAGUUCUUUGCACUCUAGGGGAUACACCGCCUUGCUCCGGAAGAUCUCCUAUCAGCAGCACACCAACUCGUUGCGCGCUGUUAGCAGCGAAGCGUCCAACUUGCUGCGUAUGCGUCACUCGUCGUUGGGGAAGUCAGCUCCCUGCCUCACGGGUAACUAUUUUCGCCAUGAACUGGCCGCUCCGUUACCAGUACAGCCCCCUGGAUUUGGGGCUUCUCCCUUGGGCGGUCACAACAUUUCGAGGUCGGGCAGCUGUGCAGGGAUUGGCUUGGCCAAGCACCACCAUCACCAUCACUUGCAUGGCGUUGUGAUGCGGGGCUCAGCUGGAGGAGGCGCUGGUUCCGGUGGUGGCUCCUCCAGUGGAGUUGCUCAUCAUCGCCUAAGUUUGGUCACCAACGCGGCUACCGUGGCAGCGGCUGGCGGAUCCCGCGCCCAUUCCCCAUACUCGGCCAGUCCCGUGGAUAGUCCGCGCCUCAAUUCACCCAUGCCAUUUGCAUUUGCUCCGAUCAAGAGAAUCGCCUCGUGCCGGGGCGUUGUCGCAGACGGACGUCGCUGGUCCGUGGCCUCGCUGCCCUCUUCGGGGUACGGAACCACGCCUGGCAGCUCCAAUUUAUCGUCUCAGUGCUCGAGUCAGGAGGGUCUCAACCAGUUGGCGCACAACAUUCCGCCCGGAGUGCAGGAGGCGGAUGCCGCUGCCGUAGCCGCCGGUGCCUGCUGCGCCGAACACCUCAAACAGCAUUGUCCCAAGCACUGUGCGCUGUUGCUAGCUGUUUCCCAGAAGCAACUGAUGCCCCAACUGAAGCCAUCGCAGCUGCAGCCCCAGAAACCGAUGACAGCGGCGUGUGUUAAUUGCUGUGCCGAGCUAAGCGAAACCUGUGGUGGUCAGAAAGCAGGUGGUGGUGCUGGUGCUGGUGCUGGUAAUGGUGGUUCAUCAGCGAAUAGCUCCGCCUCGAGUGCAAUGCAAGUUGGAGGUCGUAUGUCGCCCUACUUUCGUCCGCGGUCCCGGUCGCUGUCCAGCCCAUCGCGUUCACCCAUCGUGGACAAUGAGAUUGCUGUGAUGAACACUUUGUACAAGGAGCGUUUUCCCAAGGCCACCCAGCAAAUGGAGGAGCGACUGAAGCACUUUAUCAACGAAAAUAAGAGUGCUGCAUGCAAUAGUUUUAGGGACUCGCAGCCGAUAGUGCGCUUUGUGCAUCAUCAGGUAUUGGAAAUGGCAAGGGAUUGCCUGCACAAAUCGGAGGCCAAGUUGAUAACCUCGCAAUACUUUUAUGAGCUGAGUGAAAAUCUGGAGCGUUUGCUGGUGGAGACAAAGGAGAAAUCUCCGGAGGCGGCGGCUGAACUAAAUGGUGUGAUUAAAAAACUGCUGUUGAUUAUUUCGCGGCCAGCACGAUUGCUGGAAUGCCUAGAAUUCGACCCGCAAGAAUUCUACGAGCUUCUGGAGGCUGCAGAAGGACAUGCCAAGACAAUGCCAGUGAUAAAGGCGGACAUUCCGCAAUACAUCAUCCACAAGCUGGGACUAAACCGUGAUCCAAUCGCAGAGCUGCAACAGGAAUUAAGGGAAACACAGCAGAUGUGUUCGGAGCAAGUUACCGUGGAUGCGGAUCCACUGCAACCCAGUGGUAGUUUGCUACUCAACUCGCCCUUAACCAGUGCAGCCAAGCAGUUAAGCAGCCUGGCCUUGGAUUCUAUUGCUUUGGACUCGGGAAGUGGCACAGCGACUCCUCAACAGCCUCCUCAAACGCCAGUGGCCUCGUGUGACGCGGCACCCUCUUUUGCGCUGGCUAUUAGCCAGAUGAAUGAGGAGAAGGUAGGAUCAAGUAUUGCCGUUGGAGGAUCGGGUGCGAGGGGGACGGGAGCUGAAGGAUUAACCGGAGGCUCGGCUGCAACAGCAACUGGAAGUGGAGUCCAACAACCCUCUCCCCAAGAAAACGACUUUGACAUUGUCAAGCUGAUCUCAAAUGGUGCUUAUGGAGCCGUCUACCUGGUGAAGCACAAGACCACCCGUCAACGCUUUGCCAUGAAGAAAAUCAACAAAAAUAAUCUCAUCCUGCGCAACCAGGUGGAGCAGGUCUUUGCGGAGCGUGAUAUUCUUUCCUUCGCCGACAAUCCCUUUGUGGUCAGCAUGUACUGUUCGUUUGAGACCAAGAAGCACCUUUGCCUGGUGAUGGAGUACGUGGAGGGCGGCGACUGCGGAACGCUGCUGAAGAAUAUCGGGCCACUGCCCGCGGACAUGGCCCGCUUCUAUUUCGCCGAGACAGUAUUAGCCGUAGAGUAUCUGCACAGCUACGGCAUCGUGCAUCGCGACCUCAAGCCGGACAACCUUUUGAUCACGGCCUUGGGUCACAUCAAACUAACAGAUUUUGGGCUCUCCAAGAUGGGUCUGAUGUCAUUGGCCACCAAUUUGUAUGAGGGAUAUAUCGACUCAGAAACGAGGCAGUUUUCCGAUAAGCAGGUGUACGGCACACCCGAGUAUAUUGCACCCGAAGUGAUAUUGCGCCAGGGCUAUGGCAAACCAGUCGACUGGUGGUCCAUGGGCAUCAUUCUGUAUGAAUUUCUCAUCGGUUGUGUGCCGUUUUUUGGUGAAACCACUGAGGAACUGUUUGCGCACACCGUCAACGAUGACAUCGAGUGGCCGGACUGUGAGGAUUGGCCUGUUCAAGCGGAGGCAAAGGACAUAAUCUCGCAGCUGCUGCAACAGAAUCCGCGGGAUCGUCUGGGCACCCAAUCGGGUGCGCUGGAGAUGAAGGAGCACGAAUAUUUUCUGGGCAUGGACUGGAAUUCUCUGCUUCGGCAAAAAGCGGAGUUUGUGCCGCAGUUGUCCCACGAUGAUGAUACCAGUUAUUUUGACACCCGAAUGGAUCGCUAUAACCAUGAUCUAGGUGGAGAAGAUACGGACGACACGGAUGACACUCCCGUCUUUGGCAGUUUCAAUUCGUAUACUCCGCAGUACAGAAAACAGCAUUAUAGCUGGUCGCGUCAUGCCACCCCCACGUCUACCGAUGGAGCGAAGCCAACGGUUCCACCACCACUUUCAUCGCUGCCAUCGCGUGCCCAGGAGACUCCUGCAGCAGCCGUAGUACCCGCAUCAACUGGUGCUCUGCCUAAACUGAAAUCGGGAAUGGGAAGCGGAAGUGGAAGCGGCAGUGGUAGUGGUUCGGGUAGCGCCUCCCACGACGGAGUGGUCAAUAAAUUCUUGAACACGCCACAACUCCGAAAGCUAGAUCUCUCCUCCAGCUGCCUGAAGGUGCCGUCCACCCCGGAUGCCGAUUACUUGCCCGAAUUGUUGCACAAUGUGACGAUUGGAAACGAUGCUGAGCUGCGAAUGCUGAAGCAUUAUCUCCAGCAACCAAAUCCCGGGGCCACUCAGCGUAUGCAGCAGCGGCAUAGCAUGCCACCAAACACAACCACCAUCAUUAGUACGCCGGCCACUCCGCCACCAACUCAAACUCAGGCGACAAUGGCGGCCACUCCGCCCACAGCAACGGUGGGCAGCUUUUCGCGCAGCACGCCAGAGAGUUCGCAAACGGACAGUGAUGACUUUUCGCCACAGAUUAACCGCAAACGAAAGGGUGUUUGCGCCAGAGACAUUUUGCCGCGUUUCUCCAUCUCGAUAGAAGAUGAAACCAUUUCUGCGGGCAGCUCAUCAACGGAGACCAUGAACUUGCCAAGAGAACAAUCGCCGCUGGCUCUGCAGCAUCAACCAAAAUCCAUGGACGGCAGCACCAGUGGCAGCAGUGUAAAGCAUCAUCGGUCCAGGUCGAUAGUUAAAUCUGCAUCCGCUUUGGGUUUGUCACUUAUGACAUCUCUGGACAACAGCCAAUUGGCUGCGCAAUUGUGUGGAAUUCAAUCGCCAGGUGGUGGAGGCAAUGGCUCCAGUACGGCCAGCUCCAGGGAUACUUCUCCUUGCCGAGAGCUCUCGCCAUUGGUUACAAAUCUAAAACCUCCGAUCAUCAUACGACGUGGUCCCCGUGGUUUCGGCUUCACUGUCCACACCAUCCGUGUGUACUAUGGCGACACGGACUUCUAUACAAUGCAUCAUUUGGUUAUGGCCGUGGACGAGGGCAGUCCAGCUUUUGAGGCGGGACUGCGGCCAGCAGAUCUCAUCACUCAUGUUAAUGGGGAGGCUGUGCAAGGCCUGUUCCACACACAGGUGCUGCAGCUGCUCCUCAGUGGUGGCGAGCACGUAACCCUGCGGGCCACUCCCCUCGAGCACACCAGCAUUCAGAGCGGUGGGCGCAAGCGUGAUCUCAUGCAAAGCAAGCUGGCCAAGAAGGGUGUGAAUCGCCAGAAGAAGCAGACAAAGCGAGAGCACGACAAGAAGCGCAAGACCUCGCUAUUUCGCCGCAUCAGCAGCAAGCGUGCAAAUGCAGAGAUGCAGCAGUACUCAGCUGGCACAAGUUCACCCACCACACCAUCGGCCAGAAAUUUGUCGCCGUUGGAUUCUUCGUAUCACAGCAGCUGUUGCCAGUCGGCAGCCAACUCUUCAUCGCAAUCCACCUCGCCCUCAUCCUCAUCGCCUAACACACCCACCGGCUCAAGUGGCUCCAAUCACGGUGGCAGCACAGGAUCCGCUUUAGUUACUCCCUCGGCCCUCAGUGUGCAAUUGCCCGCUGCUCCGCCACCCACCCAGUUGGUGCUCCUGCCCCAUGUGGGAGCCGUCGUUGGCAGCAGUCCCACCUCUGUUGGAAAUGUGCCGGUCUCUCCCACUGGGGUAGUUCCGCAGCUGUAUCAGCGUCCAUCCACUUUACAUGGUCUCAAGCACAAGCUGCAUGCAGCCACUGCCGUAAUAGCAGGCGGAGGCAAUGCGAACAAUCCCGCCGGAGGCCUGAAGACUCUACAUACCACGAGCAACAAUUCGUUGCCGAAUCGACGGAAGUCUGUGGGUCACAUUCCGCUGUCUCCAUUGGCGCGAACUCCUUCACCAUCGCCGUUGCCAUCGUCACCCACAAGAUCUCCCUCCCCAUUGGCCUUUCCAUUGGUGGGCCAUCAGCCCGGUGCCUCCAACACCACACAGUCUUAUAGUCCGGGAAGCACCCUGCCCACGUUGCAGACGGCGGUGAACGCAAACACCAAGAAGGCAGGAUUUGCCCGAACUAAGUCGGCGGAACCGAGCUCUCCGCUGCUAAGGCGCGCCUUGUCACCGGAUCGAUUGCAUCCCCGUAGCGCAGAGACAAAGAUAUCGCCACUAUGCUGUUCGCCGCCCAUCAAACAGCCGACCCACCAACGAGUGGUCACCACGACUUGGAGGUCGACGCCGGGCGGCAGUGCAUCGGGAGCUGGAGGAGCAGUUUUGGGAGCUCCUUCAGCUCAACCCCUGCAGUUGCUGCCUGCCGCUUCUGAGGAAUCUCAAAAACAAACUGCUAUGGCAACAGUGGUCUCCACAACCGCUGCCGGAACAGAUCCAAGUGCCACCGCUGUGGUUACCCUGGCCAAUUGUGAGCCUCUACCCCGUAUUGCUGAGGAGAAAGAUUCGCCCACCAGUACCCAAGACAGCAGCAGUGUGUCCGAGGGAUUCAUGCCUGCUAUCGAGGAGUUCGCAGAGGGAGAAUCCUCGUCUUCGCCCACUCAAACACUGGAAAAGCCGACGAAGAUAAAGGCCACCGAGCAGCCAGAAAUGGAGCCUGCUGGCAAAAGCAAGAAGGUCGACCAGGGUAAAACCACAACUCCUGGAACGCCCAAAACUAAGCCCCACAACAGUGGCUGUAAAACUUCGAUGACAACGACAAAGCCCGCCAGUCCAAGCGUGACCAUCUCCACAGCGCCACGCAGGGAUACAACGGUUGGGAUCGGUGGAGGGACCUCUGGACCAGGAGGACCUGCAGCCACUUCUUCUGCCAAGCAGAGGAAGUAGCGCCAGAGCAGCCGCGGUGGAUAUGGAUGCUUGUGUUUUAAGUUUCGCGAUUAAAUAAUUAUCCAAAAUGAGGAUGGGCGUGGAUCGAGGGCAGGAAACGGAAGGCCGCAGGAAUUCAAUAUAAAUCUGUAGCGGGGAUUGCGUUUUAAACCUUUUUUCUAAAAAAUUCUGAAGCCUAGUAGUUUGUAGAUGUCAUAACUAAAGGAAACAAAACAAAACAAAACCGCUUAAAAACUCUUAAUGUAAAUUAGUAGGCACGAAAGAAAGUCGAGGAGGAGCACGAUAUUCCAGUUGAAGCAAAUAUAAGAGGCACCACGCAA